GGAAAUAUUAACUAUUUAAGCAGCAUUGGAAAUGCUGUGUACGAUUUAUCGUACCGAGGGUUCGAAUCCCUCUCUCUCCG
rnacentral:tRNA from 1 species